CAUUCCCCUCCCGUUAGUCUUGUUGUUCAUGGCGUAGCAGAAAUACAGCGGAAAAAAACAUGAAAAUCUGAAGAAAAAACCACGAUCAAGCGAGAAACAUGCCAAUGUACUUGUCUGGAAUGCGAAUGGUUGGGGUAGGAUGGGUAGUGGUUAUUACUGCUGGGUUGUCAUCAUUUGUUGCUGCUAAAAGACACAUUGACAGAAAAAGAUUGGAGAAGAUGAAAGCCAAGGCUAGAGAACAAAAAGAGUUAUCUGCUGCUAACCAGUUAGAUGUUGUAUGACCAUACUCAUUGAUGAAUCAAUACCAACACUAAAUGCAAUAAUAGUUCUUUUCACAGUUCCCUGUGCCAUCUUGAAAGGUAACCGUACCUGYGUAUUGAAACGCAAAUUGUGGUAACCAUGCGAUUAUCGAGACCUCUUUUAACGCCUUGACUAUUAUUCACAUGCCUCUAGAGUGCAAUACGAUAUAUCCAUGAAACACUAAUUACUAAAUUGUUCAAAAUAGUGCUAGUUAAACAAAAGAAAACAAUAGAAUUAGCAUAAAAUAAUGUAAGUUAGCAUUACUAAUAUUUCAUGGAUAUAUUGUUUGCACUCUAUCAUUGUAAGGUCACUGCUGUUCUUGCUUCUAUGCACAGGCACCUUUGAAGAUGGCAUUUAGAUACCUUUAGAUACCUACCUUAGAUACCUUUGAAGAUGGCAUAGAGAACUGUGAAGAGGACUUCCUACUAGCAGCAUUAUGUCACUCAGUUCAACCCUAAUGUUUCAAAAUGAUUUAUACAAAUGUCAUAGAACUUAAUAAUAAUGACAGAAGAUGGAAUAACGAAAGACCUUGUAGACGUCCUAUCCUAUGAUUCACAAAAGACAAGAGUUUUGAAAUUUCUGCAUCAAUAAGCUGUGCUAAAAGCUAAAUGUUACAUUCAGACUAGCAGCAUAAUAUAUUGCCAAAUGGAGAUCAUCACGCAGGAGUGGAGGAGAUGGAACUGUGCUAAUGACUAGAAAUUCCUUUAAGAUACAUCACUUUUUAUAUCCAUAAUGUAUAAUAUAACGAGGUAUGGAUUACAUAAUCAUAAGCAAUAGCCUUUGGAUAUCUGAAUAUCCCUUUUUUGUCAUGUUGAAAUCCUUACUCUUUCUAUUACCAGUUAUCCCGGCAUAAUGAAAUAAAACAAACUAUCUGGUUA